rnacentral:lncRNA from 1 species
AAAGAAGUGAUGGAGUCAUUAGUUUCACUCAUCUGGCUAAUAGGGCAGCAGAACAGCUGAUCCUCCUGGGUCUGGAGAUUCCUUCCUGAUGUCUCUCCUGCUCAGUGUUACACAACUCAGCAGAAUAUUGAGUUCUGGGUUGACCAUGAGCUCCUGGUCUGAUUGUCUCCUUCCAGCUUGGGAAGACCUGAAAAAAGGCAACUUCUCAUGGCAACGCAGUGGAAGAGCUGUUGCACGUAAGCUGGUCUUCAGAAACAAGACAGCAGAGGAGGUUGUGGGAAGAGUCCACGGUUUUUAG